rnacentral:lncRNA from 1 species
CACCUCGAAAUGCUGUGAAUGAUUUAUGUGCUGUUGUGUUUUACAUUUCCGGUCUAAAUCAGAUUUAUGAUGAUGGAUAGUCGACACUAGUAACAAUGUCGCAGGUGUAAGGUUUAUGAGUCAUCAUGUCAAUUUUAGCAUCACUAUAAUUGAUUUUUGGGGUUGUUAGUUUUUGUUUCGUUUUUCCUCUUUGUUAGAGUUGAU